rnacentral:rRNA from 1 species
AAACGGUGGGUACUAGGUGUGGGUUUCCUUCCUUGGGAUCCGUGCCGUAGCUAACGCAUUAAGUACCCCGCCUGGGGAGUACGGCCGCAAGGCUAAAACUCAAAGAAAUUGACGGGGGCCCGCACAAGCGGCGGAGCAUGUGGAUUAAUUCGAUGCAACGCGAAGAACCUUACCUGGGUUUGACAUGCACAGGACGUGCCUAGAGAUAGGUAUUCCCUUGUGGCCUGUGUGCAGGUGGUGCAUGGCUGUCGUCAGCUCGUGUCGUGAGAUGUUGGGUUAAGUCCCGCAACGAGCGCAACCCUCGUCCUAUGUUGCCAGCGGGUUAUGCCGGGGACUCGUAGGAGACUGCCGGGGUCAACUCGGAGGAAGGUGGGGAUGACGUCAAGUCAUCAUGCCCCUUAUGUCCAGGGCUUCACACAUGCUACAAUGGCCGGUACAAAGGGCUGCGAUGCCGUGAGGUGGAGCGAAUCCUUUCAAAGCCGGUCUCAGUUCGGAUCGGGGUCUGCAACUCGACCCCGUGAAGUCGGAGUCGCUAGUAAUCGCAGAUCAGCAACGCUGCGGUGAAUACGUUCCCGGGCCUUGUACACACCUCCCUGUCCUCAUGAAAGUCGGUAACACCCGA